rnacentral:rRNA from 1 species
CCUACGGGAGGCAGCAGUGAGGAAUAUUGGUCAAUGGACGGAAGUCUGAACCAGCCAUGCCGCGUGCAGGAAGACGGCUCUAUGAGUUGUAAACUGCUUUUGUACAAGGGUAAACCUGAAUACGUGUAUUCAGCUGAAAGUACUGUACGAAUAAGGAUCGGCUAACUCCGUGCCAGCAGCCGCGGUAAUACGGAGGAUCCAAGCGUUAUCCGGAUUUAUUGGGGUUAAAGGGUGCGUAGGCGGAUUGAUAAGUUAGAGGUGAAAUGUCCGAGCUUAACUCGGGAACUGCCCCUAAUACUGUUGAUCUAGAGAGUAGAUGCGGUAGGCGGAAUGUAUGGUGUAGCUGUGAAAUGCUUAGAGAUCAUACAGAACACCGAUUGCGAAGGCAGCUUACCAAUCUAUAUCUGACGUUGAGGCACGAAAGCGUGGGGAGCAAACAGGAUUAGAUACCCCUGUAGUC